rnacentral:tRNA from 1 species
UGGAGAUACCGGGGAUCGAACCCGGGACCUUUCACAUGCAAAGCGGACGCUCUACCACUGAGCUAUAUCCCC